CCCCUCUCUAUGUUAUAAAUGUGUCAUGGAUUAGCACUACCGCUAGUCCAACUCAGAUUAGAUUAAGCCUAAAAAAGCAACCUUUGGAAGCAAACUAGGAAAAGAAAAGCACGGCACGGAAUCCUCGUAAAAUUCACAUGUCAGCACACCUUUCAAAGUCAUACAUUAUAGGCAUCCGUAUGGACAAGUACAGAAAAAUGUUUAGUCUCCGUUUGGAAAGUGAUAGGUAUAGACUCCCUAAUCCGGGAGCAGCUAGUUUUAGACCACCAUUUGAAUUACG
rnacentral:lncRNA from 1 species